UGCGUAGGCGGCCGCUUAAGUAGGGUGUGAAAUGUCCCGGCUCAACCGGGGAAUGGCGCUCUAAACUGGGUGGCUCGAGUGAGAUAGAGGUGUGCGGAACUUCCGGUGUAGCGGUGAAAUGCUUAGAUAUCCUGAGGAACACCAGUGGCGAAAGCGACUUUCUGGCACGAAACUGACGCUGAGGCUCGAAAGCAUGGGUAGCAACG
rnacentral:rRNA from 1 species